CACGUAGGGCGCAAGCGUUGUCCGGAAUUAUUGGGCGUAAAGAGCUCGUAGGCGGUUUGUUGCGUCGGCUGUGAAAUCCCGAGGCUCAACCUCGGGUCUGCAGUCGAUACGAGCAAACUAGAGUGUUGCAGGGGAGACUGGAAUUCCUGGUGUAGCGGUGAAAUGCGCAGAUAUCAGGAGGAACACCGGUGGCGAAGGCGGGUCUCUGGGCAGCAACUGACGCUGAGGAGCGAAAGCGUGGGGAGCGAACAGG
rnacentral:rRNA from 1 species